ensembl:snoRNA small nucleolar RNA SNORA11
GGGAUGUGCUCAGAGCAGGUGGCCUGAAGAAUGGCUUCUCUGUUUACAACACACCCAACAAGAAUCUAGGCUCAUUGGGACAAGUAGCACAGAACUUGUGACUUCCUUUUAAGUGAAUGUCCUACACAU